rnacentral:lncRNA from 1 species
UAAGAUAAAGGACAAAUCCACAACAAUGGUGAUGGAGAUCUAUUUUAGCAAACUCCUCAUUUUGGUUCUGAAGUUGUUUUCCCUUUUCAGUGAAGGAGCUGGUUUUGCGGCAUCAGUUGAACUUAGUCAAAUUAGGUGUGUUGUGUAUGUACGUUGGAGCUGAAAAUGUAACAUUAGCUCUAGAACUGGUUGCCUAUACUGAAGAAAUACAGGUUUGUAUUUUCAUCCCACUACUGUACAAUUUAUGUUAUUUUGCACACUAUCCAUUUGGGUAUUUGGUCUGUUAUAUUCAACUUCAUUUCUCUUCAUAUUAUUGCCACAACAGGUACAUAUAUAGAUUGAGGCUUGUGUCUCCUGGGUGCAUUUCCUAUAAAAUUAGCUCUCAUCACCAUAACAAAGGUAUGCUGUCCAUUCUUAUCUUUUUUUUCAAUGGCAUUAUGCUUAUAACCUCUCUGAUGAAAUGGACAAACAAAUAUCUGUAGUUGAUAUAAAUCAUCUUGAUGCAUAAUAGAUGAGUUGCUGGGUUUGGACAUGAGCAUGAUCAAUUAUUGUGGCCUUGCUAUUUAUUGAAAGAUAGGGUGCAAAAAUCUUAUGGGUUUACGAUUAUCUCAGUUCAUAGCGGCGUGAGCUUUGUAGGAGUGGGAUAUCAUAUAUAGUAUGAUAGAUAUGGAAG